ensembl:lncRNA
GGAUGAUUUGAGAGGGUGUGCGGGCACACUAGCAUACAACACCCUGAAGUGCUGACAAAGGUCGGUUAUAACACACACAUCAUCACGCCACAGCAACUACACUUUUGAGCCGGGGAGGGAUUGGAGGGUGGAAGAUGGGUCUGUGGGCCCUUAUUUCAUACGGCAACGUGCACCACGACCGGGCUUCGCGCAUCAGCAACUGCGUAGUGAGAAUCAGCUGGAUACUUAUAUUUAUAUUUGCUAAUUUAAUCGACACAAAGCAGGCAUAGCCUUGAUUUCCCUGUGGACACAGAAGACUUCUCAAAACAUUGUUGUGUGGAUGCAAAAUGUUUUAAAAACACAAAGGAAAAACUGCGCAAAGGAAAAACUGCGCUAUCAAAACACUCCAAUGGCG